UUAAUCAGAGAGUUUGAUCCUGGCUCAGGAUGAACGCUGGCGGCGUGCUUAACACAUGCAAGUCGAACGGGAAAUAUUUCAUUGAGACUUCGGUGGAUUUGAUCUAUUUCUAGUGGCGGACGGGUGAGUAACGCGUGGGUAACCUGCCUUAUACAGGGGGAUAACAGUCAGAAAUGGCUGCUAAUACCGCAUAAGCGCACAGAGCUGCAUGGCUCAGUGUGAAAAACUCCGGUGGUAUAAGAUGGACCCGCGUUGGAUUAGCUGGUUGGUGGGGUAACGGCCCACCAAGGCGACGAUCCAUAGCCGGCCUGAGAGGGUGAACGGCCACAUUGGGACUGAGACACGGCCCAGACUCCUACGGGAGGCAGCAGUGGGGAAUAUUGCACAAUGGGGGAAACCCUGAUGCAGCGACGCCGCGUGAAGGAAGAAGUAUCUCGGUAUGUAAACUUCUAUCAGCAGGGAAGAUAGUGACGGUACCUGACUAAGAAGCCCCGGCUAACUACGUGCCAGCAGCCGCGGUAAUACGUAGGGGGCAAGCGUUAUCCGGAUUUACUGGGUGUAAAGGG
rnacentral:rRNA from 1 species